rnacentral:rRNA from 1 species
UACGGAGGGGGCUAGCGUUGUCCGGAAUUAUUGGGCGUAAAGAGCUCGUAGGCGGCUUGUCACGUCGGGUGUGAAAGCCCGGGGCUUAACCCCGGGUCUGCAUUCGAUACGGGCUAGCUAGAGUGUGGUAGGGGAGAUCGGAAUUCCUGGUGUAGCGGUGAAAUGCGCAGAUAUCAGGAGGAACACCGGUGGCGAAGGCGGAUCUCUGGGCCAUUACUGACGCUGAGGAGCGAAAGCGUGGGGAGCGAACAGG